rnacentral:rRNA from 1 species
AUCAGCUAGUUGGUAAGGUAAAGGCUUACCAAGGCUAUGACGCUUAACUGGUCUGAGAGGAUGAUCAGUCACACUGGAACUGAGACACGGUCCAGACUCCUACGGGAGGCAGCAGUAGGGAAUAUUGCGCAAUGGGCGCAAGCCUGAUGCAGCAACGCCGCGUGAGCGAUGAAGGCCUUCGGGUCGUAAAGCUCUGUCCUCAAGGAAGAUAAUGACGGUACUUGAGGAGGAAGCCCCGGCUAAAUACGUGCCAGCAGCCGCGGUAAUACGUAUGUCGCAAGCGUUAUCCGGAUUUAUUGGGCGUAAAGCGCGUCUAGGCGGUUUGGUAAGUCUGAUGUGAAAAUGCGGGGCUCAACUCCGUAUUGCGUUGGAAACUGCCAAACUAGAGUACUGGAGAGGUAGGCGGAACUACAAGUGUAGAGGUGAAAUUCGUAGAUAUUUGUAGGAAUGCCGAUGGGGAAGCCAGCCUACUGGACAGAUACUGACGCUAAAGCGCGAAAGCGUGGGUAGCAAACAGGAUUAGAUACCCUGGUAGUCCACGCCGUAAACGAUGAUUACUAGGUGUUGGGGGUCGAACCUCAGCGCCCAAGCUAACGCGAUAAGUAAUCCGCCUGGGGAGUACGUACGCAAGUAUGAAACUCAAAGGAAUUGACGGGGACCCGCACAAGUAGCGGAGCAUGUGGUUUAAUUCGAAGCAACGCGAAGAACCUUACCUAAGCUUGACAUCCCACUGACCUCUCCCUAAUCGGAGAUUUCCCUUCGGGGACAGUGGUGACAGGUGGUGCAUGGUUGUCGUCAGCUCGUGUCGUGAGAUGUUGGGUUAAGUCCCGCAACGAGCGCAACCCUUGCCUUUAGUUGCCAGCAUUAAGUUGGGCACUCUAGAGGGACUGCCGAGGAUAACUCGGAGGAAGGUGGGGAUGACGUCAAAUCAUCAUGCCCCUUAUGCUUAGGGCUACACACGUGCUACAAUGGGUGGUACAGAGGGUUGCCAAACCGUGAGGUGGAGCUAAUCCCUUAAAGCCAUUCUCAGUUCGGAUUGUAGGCUGAAACUCGCCUACAUGAAGCUGGAGUUACUAGUAAUCGCGAAUCAGAAUGUCGCGGUGAAUACGUUCCCGGGUCUUGCACUCACCGCCCGUCA